ACGAACGCUGGCGGCGUGCCUAAUACAUGCAAGUAGAACGCUGAAGAGAGGAGCUUGCUCUUCUUGGAUGAGUUGCGAACGGGUGAGUAACGCGUAGGUAACCUGCCUUGUAGCGGGGGAUAACUAUUGGAAACGAUAGCUAAUACCGCAUAACAAUGGAUGACCCAUGUCAUUUAUUUGAAAGGGGCAAAUGCUCCACUACAAGAUGGACCUGCGUUGUAUUAGCUAGUAGGUGAGGUAACGGCUCACCUAGGCGACGAUACAUAGCCGACCUGAGAGGGUGAUCGGCCACACUGGGACUGAGACACGGCCCAGACUCCUACGGGAGGCAGCAGUAGGGAAUCUUCGGCAAUGGGGGCAACCCUGACCGAGCAACGCCGCGUGAGUGAAGAAGGUUUUCGGAUCGUAAAGCUCUGUUGUAAGUCAAGAACGAGUGUGAGAGUGGAAAGUUCACACUGUGACGGUAGCUUACCAGAAAGGGACGGCUAACUACGUGCCAGCAGCCGCGGUAAUACGUAGGUCCCGAGCGUUGUCCGGAUUUAUUGGGCGUAAAGCGAGCGCAGGCGGUUUGAUAAGUCUGAAGUUAAAGGCUGUGGCUCAACCAUAGUUCGCUUUGGAAACUGUCAAACUUGAGUGCAGAAGGGGAGAGUGGAAUUCCAUGUGUAGCGGUGAAAUGCGUAGAUAUAUGGAGGAACACCGGUGGCGAAAGCGGCUCUCUGGUCUGUAACUGACGCUGAGGCUCGAAAGCGUGGGGAGCGAACAGGAUUAGAUACCCUGGUAGUCCACGCCGUAAACGAUGAGUGCUAGGUGUUGGAUCCUUUCCGGGAUUCAGUGCCGCAGCUAACGCAUUAAGCACUCCGCCUGGGGAGUACGACCGCAAGGUUGAAACUCAAAGGAAUUGACGGGGGCCCGCACAAGCGGUGGAGCAUGUGGUUUAAUUCGAAGCAACGCGAAGAACCUUACCAGGUCUUGACAUCCGAUGCAUAGCGCAGAGAUGCGUGAAGUCCUUCGGGACAUCGAGACAGGUGGUGCAUGGUUGUCGUCAGCUCGUGUCGUGAGAUGUUGGGUUAAGUCCCGCAACGAGCGCAACCCUUAUUGUUAGUUGCCAUCAUUUAGUUGGGCACUCUAGCAAGACUGCCGGUGACAAACCGGAGGAAGGUGGGGAUGACGUCAAAUCAUCAUGCCCCUUAUGACCUGGGCUACACACGUGCUACAAUGGUUGGUACAACGAGUUGCGAGUCGGUGACGGCAAGCUAAUCUCUUAAAGCCAAUCUCAGUUCGGAUUGUAGGCUGCAACUCGCCUACAUGAAGUCGGAAUCGCUAGUAAUCGCGGAUCAGCACGCCGCGGUGAAUACGUUCCCGGGCCUUGUACACACCGCCCGUCACACCACGAGAGUUUGUAACACCCGAAGUCGGUGAGGUAACCUUUUGGAGCCAGCCGCCUAAGGUGGGAUAGAUGAUUGGGGUG
rnacentral:rRNA from 1 species